GGGGGCGACUGGUUUCGACAUGAUAGCUAUGAGGGAGGAAGCAGGUCGUGGUCUCCUCGCCACGUUAAACAGGGGUACCGUCAAAUUUAAUUGACAAGACUCAGACUCAGGGCGCUUAUGCCCUCGCUGCCUAAUCUGAAUAGGUAGCCGUCAAUCCGCGGCGCUCUCCCGACUGCGGUGCGACGUCACUUAGGGAGAUGCCCCCGGGCACGUAGUCCGUAUGGUUCGGGGAAAGAUCGAACGGGCUAGAGAGCGCAAGGAUUGUCUGCGCGCCGCUGCGCAAUCGAAACUGGAGCACAGACUGAGCCUGGAGAUGCCUCCCAGGUGGCUACCAUGGACCGGAGUUCGAUUCUCCGCGCCUCCACCA
rnacentral:tmRNA from 1 species